AGUUCAAGGGACUCUGCUGUUGCGAAACAGGAGUGGGCGAGUGGGCUGGUGGUGUGCUGAGGGCGUUCUGUGAAGCGGAAGCCUUGUGUAUCCUUUGGAGGAAAGGAGCAUCAUGAGUCAAAGGGAAAUAUUUCAAAUUAAGAGACUAUGAGGAGAAACUAGACAAUUUAAGGAGUCCAUGGGAAGAAAGUCCUCCAGACUGUGCAGUGCUGUGCUUUUGAUCAAUCACAAGAAAGACAAUGGAUUCCAUCUUGGACAGAAAAAGCACCAAAGCACUAACGUCCACAAGGGCAGUGACUUUUCUUUUGUUCUAUUUUGCUGUUGUUGGUUAAUGUUCAAAUUACUGAUUUUUUUUUUUUUUUGGUCUCGGCUUAGAGAAGAAAAUGUCACAAGACCGUCAACUUCUGAUCCUGCUGUUUAUAUUGGCACAGAUGUGUGUAGGGACGCCAUCACCAGCUUAAUUUUUUGUUUUUGGUGACCUUGUGGGGGGGGUCUUCAGUUUCCUCCAGUUGAUAAGCAAGAAAAGAGGAUGAGGAUGAUUAAGGAAGCAGUUUUCUACCCAACCUUCUAAAUGUCCACAUUUCUGUUCAUUUUCCUUUGGCCAGAACUCGGUCGCAGAACCGCAAACCAACUGCAAGAAUGGCUAGAAACUAAAAACUUCUGCAUCUGAGGAUGGGAAAGAGUCUGGAGGGCUUAGUCUGCCACCUGACGUAUUGAUACGCAAUUAAAGAAGAUUUCUUUGUAUCAGACAGGGUUAUAGAGGAUACUUGGUACAAGAUUGUUAUGUGGGCAUCAGAUCAAGGCUAAAGCUUACUCUAUAUUUGAGUCUGCAUUAACUGGACAGCAGUGGAAACCUCUUUGGGCAGAAUGGCACCAGGUCUACAGUGCAGGAAGAACCAGCUUCUAUUUCCUUAGGAAAGGGUGGACUAUGUGUGGAUCAAUGCUGAGGGGAAGCUCUCCAGUCUGACUAUCUACGGUUUGGGAUGCCAAGAGAACUGAAGCCUUCGUGCUUUGGUACUAUUGUGGUCUACACAAGGCGGCCAGUGACUCUGACUUCACAAUUUGCUCUAUUAUUUUCCAGCUCAGGUGAUGGGGUGCUCUCUUUGGUCAGAGUUACCACUCUGAAGAAUGGGGACUUGUCUGAGACUACUACUCUGUCAGAAGGCCUCAACUCUGGGCCAAGCAUUGGAUCAUGGACAGCAGGAGUGAGAGGCUCAGUGCUCCAGUUCUACGCUAAGAUUUUCUGGCUUGCAAAUCUCUUGGCCUGCACAUUGGGAAGGUCUGUGUGGGUUUAAGAGGCUGCAUCCUGUGACCUUAUUUCCAGAAGAGGUUUGGUGACAAUGGUUUUUGACACCCAAGAGUGUUCCCAGAAUCUCUGUACACUCUCUUGAACUUCAUACAUACUUCGAAAAGCAAAAUUACUUUUACUUUAUUUUGAGGACAGAGCGACAAACCAUGAAACAGGAUGAUCAGAAAAAAGGAGUGAGAGUGUCCAAGAAAACGGAGAUGGGAUUCUAUAAGGUUCUUUUCUGUCCUUGUCUAUGUCCCAUGCAAAAAUCAGGCCGAAGGAAGCUUAGACUGGGAAAAGGAUUUUAAUAGUCACAAGGCAUGCCUCUUGAUGCCUUAGAUUCUUCCUCUUCA
rnacentral:lncRNA from 14 species